rnacentral:rRNA from 1 species
GAUGAACGCUAGCGACAGGCUUAACACAUGCAAGUCGAGGGGCAGCACGGGAGUAGCAAUACAACUGGUGGCGACCGGCGCACGGGUGAGUAACGCGUAUGCAACCUACCUAUCAGAGGGGAAUAACCCGGCGAAAGUCGGACUAAUACCGCAUAAAACAGGGGCACCGCAUGGUGAUAUUUGUUAAAGAAAUUCGCUGAUAGAUGGGCAUGCGUUCCAUUAGGUAGUUGGUGAGGUAACGGCUCACCAAGCCGACGAUGGAUAGGGGAACUGAGAGGUUGGUCCCCCACACUGGUACUGAGACACGGACCAGACUCCUACGGGAGGCAGCAGUGAGGAAUAUUGGUCAAAUGGGCGGGAGCCUGAACCAGCCAAGUCGCGUGAAGGAAGAAGGAUCUAUGGUUCGUAAACUUCUUUUGCAGGGGAAUAAAGUGCAGGACGUGUCCUGUUUUGUAUGUACCCUGAGAAUAAGGAUCGGCUAACUCCGUGCCAGCAGCCGCGGUAA